GAUGAACGCUGGCGGCGUGCCUAAUACAUGCAAGUCGAGCGAACAGACGAGAAGCUUGCUCCUCUGACGUUAGCGGCGGACGGGUGAGUAACACGUGGAUAACCUACCUAUAAGACUGGGAUAACUUCGGGAAACCGGAGCUAAUACCGGAUAAUAUAUUGAACCGCAUGGUUCAAUAGUGAAAGACGGUUUUGCUGUCACUUAUGGAUGGAUCCGCGCCGCAUUAGCUAGUUGGUAAGGUAACGGCUUACCAAGGCGACGAUGCGUAGCCGACCUGAGAGGGUGAUCGGCCACACUGGAACUGAGACACGGUCCAGACUCCUACGGGAGGCAGCAGUAGGGAAUCUUCCGCAAUGGGCGAAAGCCUGACGGAGCAACGCCGCGUGAGUGAUGAAGGUCUUCGGAUCGUAAAACUCUGUUAUUAGGGAAGAACAAAUGUGUAAGUAACUAUGCACGUCUUGACGGUACCUAAUCAGAAAGCCACGGCUAACUACGUG
rnacentral:rRNA from 1 species